rnacentral:lncRNA from 1 species
GAAAAUGGAAGAGGGAGAGGAUGCAGAGGAGGAGGAAAAAGGAGAAAAGCAGAACAGAAGCACAUGGCCUGGAGAAACCACAAGUUCUAAGGGGUCUCAUAAGCUGUGGAAGAUGGUGAUCACUUUGACUCAUGCCCUCACCACAUCCAUCUUCAAGGGACUGACAAAGAAUUUGCAGGCCCAUACACAGAUUCCUUUCUCCAUCAAGACCAAGGAUCUGGUUGUACACAAGUGGAUGUUCGUGGAAGACUGAAGGGGGCAUGGGGUCUCAGGCUUUGGCUUCCACUGAAUAGAUGACCUUGAAGAAUUGGACAGUGCUCAGCUAGACACCACUUUGGUCAUGACUGCUUUACUAUGCUUUAACCUGUAACCUCUAUCAUCUAACCUCUGCCCUUCUUCAUCCUCACAUUGCUACUGAAGAUGACCUUGAGGUUGGAUCCUAUUUAUUAAAUCUCCUUUCACUGUG